rnacentral:rRNA from 1 species
AUUGAACGCUGGCGGCAUGCUUUACACAUGCAAGUCGAAUGGUAACAGGCCUUCGGGUGCUGACGAGUGGCGAACGGGUGAGUAAUGCAUCGGAACGUACCCAGAGGUGGGGGAUAACGCAGCGAAAGCUGUGCUAAUACCGCAUGUGAUCUGAGGAUGAAAGCGGGGGACCGAGCAGCAAUGUUUGGCCUCGCGCCUUUGGAGCGGCCGAUGUCGGAUUAGCUAGUUGGUGGGGUAAAGGCCUACCAAGGCGACGAUCCGUAGCUGGUCUGAGAGGACGACCAGCCACACUGGGACUGAGACACGGCCCAGACUCCUACGGGAGGCAGCAGUGGGGAAUUUUGGACAAUGGGCGCAAGCCUGAUCCAGCAAUGCCGCGUGCGGGAAGAAGGCCUUCGGGUUGUAAACCGCUUUUGGCAGGAACGAAACGGUGUCCGCUAAUACCGGGCGCUAAUGACGGUACCUGCAGAAUAAGCACCGGCUAACUACGUG